UUCACAAUAAACAUACAUAUAUUACAUAUAAACCAACAGUUGCAUAAAAAUACAGUACACUAAAAAAAUACACAAACUACAUCAACGAACUAGGUGCACUAGUCUGCUGGAACCUAAUGAAAAUAUUCAUACAACACUUCUCUAGGUGUUUCCAAUAUAUAUAUUUUAAGUUUUUUCUUGAAUGAAGAAAAUGACGCAUUAUGAAUUUUUAAAUAAUCAGGUAUCGUAUUAUAUAAUUUUGGAGCCAAAUACAUAUUGGAUCUUUGACCUAUAUUUUUUUGCAUCAAAGGAGGUAAGUAUUUAUUUAUUUUCCUUGUUUCAUAGUGAUGUGUGAUUAAUUCGCAUUUGUCCUCUACUAAAUGAUAUCUAGAGAUACAAUUAUAAUAGUAUAGUUGCCUUAUAUCGAGCAUUUUGGCUUCACUAAAUAAUUCGCUAGUAGAGUAAGUUUGUUCCUUCUUAAAUAUUAUCUUUAGAAAUCUUUUUUGCAGUAUUUGAAGAGGUUCAAUAUGACUCUUAACAGCAGAGCCCCAGGCUAAUAUAGCAUAAUUUAUAUGGCUUUCCACUAAGGAGUAAUAGAUGGUCUUCAAAUACUGCAUGGAUAACAAACUACCGAGAUACUUAAAGGAAGAAUCGUAAAAAUGUUUCUGUUGAUUUCUAUAUUCAAGCAAUCAAAGGAUGGAAUUGUUGAUUUAUUACAUGUAAAAGUUUAAGGCACUCUCCUCUGACUCCUAUAUUUUCUAAUGACUGCAAAAGUAGAGAAUGGCUGACAGUAUCAAAGGCUUUGGUUAAAUCAAUGAACGUGCAUAAGCAAGGCAAACCCUUAUCAAGUGCUAGGGAAA